rnacentral:rRNA from 1 species
CCUACGGGUGGCAGCAGUGAGGAAUAUUGGUCAAUGGACGAGCGUCUGAACCAGCCAAGUAGCGUGAAGGAUGACUGCCCUAUGGGUUGUAAACUUCUUUUAUAUGGGAAUAACAUGUUCCACGUGUGGGAUUUUGUAUGUACCAUAUGAAUAAGGAUCGGCUAACUCCGUGCCAGCAGCCGCGGUAAUACGGAGGAUCCGAGCGUUAUCCGGAUUUAUUGGGUUUAAAGGGAGCGUAGGUGGAUUGUUAAGUCAGUUGUGAAAGUUUGCGGCUCAACCGUAAAAUUGCAGUUGAAACUGGCAGUCUUGAGUACAGUAGAGGUGGGCGGAAUGCGUGGUGUAGCGGUGAAAUGCUUAGAUAUCACGAAGAACUCCGAUUGCGAAGGCAGUUCACUGGACUGCAACUGACACUGAGGCUCGAAAGUGUGGGUAUCAAACAGGAUUAGAUACCCUUGUAGUC